UCGGUCGUCGCCAUUGCAAGC
rnacentral:miRNA from 1 species